CAGCAGGAAAAAAAGAAAAGAAAGGAAAAAAGAAAUAAUAAAAAAACAUAAAGACAAUACAAAUUUUAUUAAUUUCUUUUUUCCUAUUUUCAUAUUCUCAUUAUUUUAUAAUUCUUCAUCUUUAAUGCUCUUAUUCUCCUUCAUUUUCAU
rnacentral:RNase_P_RNA from 15 species